GUGACACACGCGUGUGCACGCAGGUGUCCCCGCAGCCCAGCCACACCGCCGGGAGGAAGUGGGUGCGAAUGGGCUGCGCGUUGCCCUGAGCGCUGAGGCAGGAGGAUCUCCGGGGUUUGAGGCCAGCUUGGGCUGCAGAGCGAGACCCUGCCGGAGCGCGGCAGGUAAUGAGUCAAAAAUAAAAGCUGCUGCUUACGUACUGACGAAGGGCAGAGCAGCAGAGGCAGGGUAACACACACGCCACGUGUCACACAUACGACACGAGUACUCAAGGAUCCUCUCACGUCCCCGAGACCCGGGCAUCUGGGCCACGCUCCCAUCACAGGCUCCAGAGAGACCUCCUGCCUCUGCCUCCUCCGAGGGAGACCCUCCUGCCUCUGCCUCUCCUCCGAGGGAGACCCUCCUGCCUCUGCCUCCCCUCGGGGCUCCAGGAGACCCUGGGCCGCAGCCCCACUGCUCCAGUCCCUGCCUGCGUCUUCAUGUGGCUGCUGCUCUGUCUCUCCUGAGGACGCUGCCGCUGGAGACGAGAGGCUGAGGCAGGGCGGCCUGUCUCCACACGCUGCUCCGAUCCCCCCGGCAGGGACUGUGCCCCCACCCGAGGCCCGCCCCGAAGCAGGCAGCCAUGACACCAUGACCUACUGCCUGAACAGCAAGUCGCCUGUGUCCCGCACGCAGUCUCGGCUGCUGCACUUCCUGAACAAGGCGGCCCCCUGCAUCACUGGGCCGGUGGUGCUCAAGUGGGCGGUCACCCAGGUAGGAGGUCCUGGGGGGUCUCGUGUGCCGAGCCAGUGGGUGGUGUCAGAGGCUUUCCUAGAGCAGCCGCGGGUGAGAAAGGUGGUCUUGGUGGCUUGAGCCCAUCCCAGCACUUGGGAGGCUGAGGCAGGAGGAUCUCCACGAGUUCCAUGUACGUAGUGAGUUCAGCCUGAACUACAGAGCAAAACCCCGUCCCCGUCCCGCGGGUUUUUGCAGGAUGACGCGAUGUCCCGAGGAGGCGCCCUUUAGUCUUAUUUUAGACGGGGUCUCCCAAAGCAGUCCAGGCUGGGCAGGAGCGCGGGGCCCGCCGCCCGGGUCAG
rnacentral:lncRNA from 1 species